GACGAACGCUGGCGGCGUGCUUAACACAUGCAAGUCGAACGGAAAGGCCCUGCUUUUGUGGGGUGCUCGAGUGGCGAACGGGUGAGUAACACGUGAGUAACCUGCCCUUGACUUUGGGAUAACUUCAGGAAACUGGGGCUAAUACCGGAUAGGAGCUCCUGCUGCAUGGUGGGGGUUGGAAAGUUUCGGCGGUUGGGGAUGGACUCGCGGCUUUUCAGCUUGUUGGUGGGGUAGUGGCUUACCAAGGCCUUGACGGGUAGCCGGCCUGAGAGGGUGACCGGCCACAUUGGGACUGAGAUACGGCCCAGACUCCUACGGGAGGCAGCAGUGGGGAAUAUUGCACAAUGGGCGGAAGCCUGAUGCAGCAACGCCGCGUGCGGGAUGACGGCCUUCGGGUUGUAACCCGCUUUCGCCUGUGACGAAGCGUGAGUGAUGGUAAUGGGUAAAGAAGCACCGGCUAACUACGUG
rnacentral:rRNA from 1 species